UACGUAGGGUGCGAGCGUUGCCCGGAUUUAUUGGGCGUAAAGGGCGCGUAGGCGGCCACGCACGUCCGUUGUGAAAUCGCCCGGCUCAACUGGGCGGGGUCAGCGGAUACGGUGUGGCUCGAGCAAGCUAGGGGGCAAUGGAAUUCCCGGUGUAGUGGUGGAAUGCGUAGAGAUCCGGAAGAACACCAGUGGCGAAGGCGGCCCGCUGGGCAGUGGCUGACGCUGAGGCGCGACAGCGUGGGGAGCAAACAGG
rnacentral:rRNA from 1 species